rnacentral:rRNA from 1 species
ACAGUUUGAUCCUGGCUCAGAUUGAACGCUGGCGGAAUGCUUUACACAUGCAAGUCGAACGGCAGCACGGGGGCAACCCUGGUGGCGAGUGGCGAACGGGUGAGUAAUAUAUCGGAACGUGCCCAGUCGUGGGGGAUAACGUAGCGAAAGUUACGCUAAUACCGCAUACGAUCUAUGGAUGAAAGCGGGGGACCGUAAGGCCUCGCGCGAUUGGAGCGGCCGAUAUCAGAUUAGGUAGUUGGUGGGGUAAAGGCCCACCAAGCCAACGAUCUGUAGCUGGUCUGAGAGGACGACCAGCCACACUGGGACUGAGACACGGCCCAGACUCCUACGGGAGGCAGCAGUGGGGAAUUUUGGACAAUGGGCGAAAGCCUGAUCCAGCCAUUCCGCGUGCAGGACGAAGGCCUUCGGGUUGUAAACUGCUUUUGUACGGAACGAAAAAGUUUCAGCUAAUACCUGGAAUCCAUGACGGUACCGUAAGAAUAAGCACCGGCUA